rnacentral:rRNA from 1 species
CCUACGGGAGGCAGCAGUGAGGAAUAUUGGUCAAUGGCCGGAAGGCUGAACCAGCCAAGCCGCGUGAAGGACGAAGGUGCCAAGCAUUGUAAACUUCUUUUGUCAAGGGACAAAAUCAGGCUCGAGAGCCUGACCGAGGGUACUUGAAGAAAAAGCAUCGGCUAACUCCGUGCCAGCAGCCGCGGUAAU